rnacentral:lncRNA from 1 species
UUGUUUGUUUGUGGGAUGAGGUGGGCGGAGGGCCCGAGGGAGAUGCUCCGCCGACAGCCUUCCAGGUCAAAGGCGAGCUGCCUUCCCUCCGUGGAGAUGACCAGACGUUGAUGACAAAACGCUUCCGGACAGGAAGAUGGCUUCACCUGGAGUGUGGCGUUAAGACAGAACAGUCUAGAAGUCAGUCUGCCAUCCCUUGGGGAGUCUGCUUGUUAAGGCUGGUGUGCUUUGCCCACAAAAAUUUGAGACACUGUCAUCUGAUCGGGGAACCUGCCUGGCACAAAGGCCCAUCAGACGGCCUGGAAGGGCUCAGAGCCGGGAGGACCUGCUGCCUGCGGUGCCCGGGGCUGUGA